UCUGUAGUAGUACUAGUGAUCUAUAAAUUAAAGAAAUUUGGCGGUGUAUGAGACAAAUUAGAGGAACUUGUAUUUUAAUCGAUAAUCCCCGAAAAUCUUACCUACGAAUGUAUUUCAGUUUGUAUACCGUUGUCUUCAGAUUAUAUGUGUGAAAUAUCUUCUUAAUAAUCGAUUUAUUAAAAAGUCAAAUCAAGGUGCAGCAUAUACGUAGGUUAAUAUGAGUUACAAUGAGAGAAUAUUAUACGGAGUUAUAUUUGAAUAAAUAUGAUGAAGGUGGAUUUAAUUGUAAGUUUUAGUUAUUAUUUAAGAUUGAAUUUGCUCUGAUGCAUGCACACAUCGCCCG
rnacentral:rRNA from 1 species